rnacentral:lncRNA from 1 species
UCCAGCGCCGUCCGGGAAGGAGCACCGGGGAGGAGGCAGGGGCGGCUCUGCGGCUGGGCGCGGAAGGGCGGGGCCUCUCCCCACUCAGCAGUUUACAAAAAGAAAAAGCCCGAGGUCGUGCGUCGGGGAAGAGAUGAAAACGAAGUUCCUGAAGUUUCUGCAGCACUGCUAGAGCGCGUCAGGGCGAAAGGCUGGGAGGCGGCUCGCGUUCCCGGAGGGCUUACCAAGCUCUAAUUACAGGUUCCUAAUCGUUGUGUGGAGAACCCGUUGCAAGCCUUGUGGAAAUUAAUGCAUCUGGGCGAUUUCCGGGGCCUCCGAACUCGCUGAAGCCCAUCCCCAAGUCUCCCCAGAUGUGUGGAUUCCAGGGUGGGCUCCGCUCAACGCCCACCUUGCCGUGAGAAAGAUCAGCAAAUUUAAAAAAGAAAACCUGACUGUGGGAAUAUGGAAGACUAUGGGACUGUGGGAGAAUGUCGUGAUCCAUGCAAGCUCACUGCUGGUCCUGAGGUGGGUUGGGUCAGUAUGUGGUCGCUGAGCUGUGUGACUAUAUUUGUUUUCUAGGGAGCUGGGUGGCUUAAAACAACAGAACUUCUUUGUCUUCCAGUUCCAGAGGCCAGAAGUCCCAAAUCAAGGUGUUGGCAGAGCCACAGUCUCUCUGAAGACUUUAGCAGGUGAUCUUUCUUGCUUCUGCUGUGGCAGCCCU